UAAUACAGAGGGUGCAAGCGUUAAUCGGAUUUACUGGGCGUAAAGCGCGCGUAGGUGGCCAAUUAAGUCAAAUGUGAAAUCCCCGAGCUUAACUUGGGAAUUGCAUUCGAUACUGGUUGGCUAGAGUAUGGGAGAGGAUGGUAGAAUUCCAGGUGUAGCGGUGAAAUGCGUAGAGAUCUGGAGGAAUACCGAUGGCGAAGGCAGCCAUCUGGCCUAAUACUGACACUGAGGUGCGAAAGCAUGGGGAGCAAACAGGAUUAGAUACCCUGGUAGUCCAUGCCGUAAACGAUGUCUACUAGCCGUUGGGGCCUUUGAGGCUUUAGUGGCGCAGCUAACGCGAUAAGUAGACCGCCUGGGGAGUACGGUCGCAAGACUAAA
rnacentral:rRNA from 1 species